GACGAACGCUGGCGGCGUGCUUAACACAUGCAAGUCGAACGGAAAGGCCCUGCUUUUGUGGGGUGCUCGAGUGGCGAACGGGUGAGUAACACGUGAGUAACCUGCCCUUGACUUUGGGAUAACUUCAGGAAACUGGGGCUAAUACCGGAUAGGAGCUCCUGCUGCAUGGUGGGGGUUGGAAAGUUUCGGCGGUUGGGGAUGGACUCGCGGCUUAUCAGCUUGUUGGUGGGGUAGUGGCUUACCAAGGCUUUGACGGGUAGCCGGCCUGAGAGGGUGACCGGCCACAUUGGGACUGAGAUACGGCCCAGACUCCUACGGGAGGCAGCAGUGGGGAAUAUUGCACAAUGGGCGGAAGCCUGAUGCAGCAACGCCGCGUGCGGGAUGACGGCCUUCGGGUUGGAAACCGCUUUCGCCUGUGGCGAAGCGUGAGUGACGGUAAUGGGUAAAGAAGCACCGGCUAACUACGUG
rnacentral:rRNA from 1 species